AUUGUGAGGGCACAGAGACUUGGUCAUAGAAAGUCAAACUUCCAAGGCUGGGGAACCAGAACUCUGGGAGCCUGUUGGAGUGACACGUGGAAGGUGGAUAUCGAAGGUAUACUUUUGAUGUGAUCCAGUACACGUUCUCCUUUCAGAUCAUCAAGAGAGAAGCUGUAAGUGGUAUCACUGCCUCAUAUUGGAGAAGCACGUGGGGGUUUAUAAGCAGGUGACAGUUCUAGGGACCUUUGGCUUUAAGUAGCUGUCUCUUCCCCAGAUUCAUAUUUAGGUUCAGUCCACUCUUGAGUCUUUAUCAAUAUUUUCCUCAAGAC
rnacentral:lncRNA from 1 species